UACGUAGGGACCGAGCGUUGUCCGGAUUCAUUGGGCGUAAAGAGCUCGUAGGCGGCCACUCAAGUUGAAUGUGAAACCUCGAGGCUUAACCUCGAGCCUGCAUUUGAUACUGGGCGGCUAGAGUCUGGUAGGGGGAUCUGGAAUUCCUGGUGUAGCGGUGGAAUGCGCAGAUAUCAGGAGGAACACCGGUGGCGAAGGCGGCAUCCUGGACCAACACUGACACUGAGGAGCGAAAGCCAGGGGAGCAAACGGG
rnacentral:rRNA from 1 species